AACUCUUAGCGGUGGAUCACUCGCUCGUGCGUCGAUGAAGAACGCAGCUAGCUGCGAAACUAAUGUGAAUUGCAGGACACAUUGAUCAUCGACCUUUCGAACGCACCUUGCGCCCCGGUUCCUCCCGGGCUACGCCUGUCUGAGAGUCG
ensembl:rRNA 5_8S_rRNA 5.8S ribosomal RNA